UGACUGCUCUCCUGGUCUGUUGUUUCCCUGUAUCUCUCCCUCUCCCCAGACUUCCCUAUUUCCUGAAACACAACAAUAUUAAAAUUAGGCCAGUCAGUACAACUAUAGUGCCCUCUAAGUGUUCAAGUGAGAGGAAGAGUCAAUCAAAGUCACAAUGUUCAUUGUUGUCAUUUUAAGAAAUUGCUACAGCCACUCUAACCUUCACCGACCACCACCCUGAUCAGCCAACAGCCAUCAACAUGGGGCAAAACCCUCCACCAGCAAAAAGAUUACAACUCACUGAAAGCUCAGGUACUGUGUAUAGGACAGGGGAUGUGACAGUCCAUGCACUGAGGCGGGUAGGGAAGUGAGCAGGCCCUUUGCAUGCAGUGCUGUGUCUGAUACAGAAGUGGCAAAUGAGAAUAAAGGCGCAUGAGCACAGGGAGUCCCGCACUGACUGGCAGGAGCACAGGAAUGUUGGGAGCAAGGAACGGGAGAAGCAGCACCUCCUAGCGGGCUCUGCGUCUUGAGGCAGGAAGACGACUGUGAAGGAAUGGAAGCUGUAGAAAUGGGGCGUGGGGAGAGAAGCCUGACUUCAGACUGAUUUACCUGAGAGAAAACAAGUAAAACAUGACUGAGAAUAUUAGCCAAGAAUUAGUUAAAAAUGUAAAAUUGUGUAUUUGUUUUAAAGUAGCUCUGGGCUGCUUUAAAAAUAACAAGUGCUCCUUUUAAAAUUAUUUGUAAAAUAGAAAAGCCUAGAGAAGAAAAUACAAAUCACUGGCAAGUCCCAUUGAGAUGAUCCCACUGACACUUUGUGGUAGUUUUAAAAAUCUUUUUUCUUCACUUUGAUAUUCACAUUGUAUGUGUGUGUCCUUUACUGAAAUGAUGUCAGUGUCUAUAUACAAUCUUAUAUCCUGUUUCUUUGGCUACAUAUAUCAUGAGCAUUUGCCCUGUGUC